GGUUGUCAUACACAUGUGAUGCACUGAUGCUUGCACACAACCAUCGAGAAGUACUAGGUUGUCAUGUUCAAAAAAUACUUGUUAGAAUAUAACAUAUUUUGUUGAAUUAAAAUUCAUAGUUGCGCACAUAGUUGCCAGAUUUUAAACAUGUUUAAUUGUCAUAUUAAAAUUAUUUGGUUGUCAAAAUUAACAUGUUAAGUUGCCAAAAAUACAAGUACUUGGUUGCCUAUUUUGUAAAAGCUUAGUUGCAUACUUAGUUGCCAGAUUUUAAAAUAAGUUAGUUGCCAAAAUUAUACAAUCACUUAAUUGUGAGGAUUAAACAUGGUUAGUUGACAAAAAUACAAGCACUUAGUUCCCUAUGUUUAAGCUUUCGUUACAUACUUAGUUGUCAGAUUUUAAAACAUAUUUAGUUGUGAGGAUUAAAGAUGUUUAAUUGCCAAAAAAUAGGUGCUUGU
rnacentral:lncRNA from 1 species